UUGAACGCUGGCGGCAUGCCUUACACAUGCAAGUCGAACGGCAGCACGGGAGCAAUCCUGGUGGCGAGUGGCGAACGGGUGAGUAAUAUAUCGGAACGUACCCAGACGUGGGGGACAACUAGUCGAAAGACUAGCUAAUACCGCAUACGUCCUGAGGGAGAAAGCGGGGGAUCGCAAGACCUCGCGCGUUUGGAGCGGCCGAUAUCUGAUUAGCUAGAUGGUGGGGUAAAGGCUCACCAUGGCGACGAUCAGUAGCUGGUCUGAGAGGAUGAUCAGCCACACUGGAACUGAGACACGGUCCAGACUCCUACGGGAGGCAGCAGUGGGGAAUUUUGGACAAUGGGGGAAACCCUGAUCCAGCCAUUCCGCGUGAGUGAAGAAGGCCUUCGGGUUGUAAAGCUCUUUCGGCAGGAACGAAACGGCGGAAUCUAAUACAUUCCACUAAUGACGGUACCUGAAGAAGAAGCACCGGCUAACUACGU
rnacentral:rRNA from 1 species